UUGUUCAUUUGAAAGAAAAACAUCGUUUGAGCCAUAUAAAAUAAAUACACGUCCGUAGCUCCGACAGAAGGACAGAAAAAUGUAAAGAACCUGCAAAAACGUACAUUUUUUUAUUUAAUUAAUAUUAAUGAUUUAAUUAAGAUUUACAACUGCCAUUUAAUUUUUUUUUUCCUGGGGGGGGGGGGGUAUUUUUGUAAAUAAAUAUAAAUAAAUAUUUGCAUUUUAUGAAUAAUCGCAAUUUUUUAUAUAAAAAAAUUAACUUUAAAAAAAGUUAAUUAGCACUUGCUGAGUUUGAUUGGACAACGUGAUUGGACAAUAAUUUAACACGUUGUAUUGGUCACUCGGGAAUUUUUUUUUUCUUUUUUUAAAAACACAUUUACUGGAUAAUUUACACGUUGUGUGUUGAAAUAGUAAUACCUCAAAAAGUGUGUAGGAUAUGAACUCAUCCUUUCUGAGUACGCACGUCCCUGUGAACGAGCUGCUGUUAUAGAAAAUGAAUCAACACCACCCGACCAAUCAGAAUCCAGAACUGGACGCCCGACAGCGCUGCGGUGGAAAAUGUAUACCCAAGCGUAUUUGUCUCACUGAGAAAGUGUGACAGAAGAACGAGUUACUCACCGUGUCUCACUGAUCAUGACAUUAAAUAACACUCCUGCUAAUUACAGUGUGUGUAGGUGCGUCAAUAUGAUACCCUGCUGCUAACUCUCUCUCUCUCUCACACACACACACACACACACACCUAGAGACAGAGUACAGAGCGUGAUUGAUGCUCUACAUAAAACAUGUAAAGCUAACAUCUUUAGCGCUACAUUGUUUUUCCUCUUAGCUUCAGCUCACUGGUGUUAAACUCAUCCGCUAGCAACAUCCCCUACUGAUUUACACAUAUAUAAUAAUUAGCCUAAUGUUUGCUAGCUUGCUAACAAAACUGCACGAUUUAAAAAUAUAGAGAUUGAGAGAGAGUCAGUGUGAUUAACCUAUCCUUGUCUUUAGUUACAAAAUGGUUAGCCAAGUGAUAGCUAGCUUGCUAGUUAAACCGCAUACUUGUUUCAACAAAUACUGUAUAGCCAGUGAGAAUAAUCUAUCCUCUGCUUUUACUCACAAAAUCCUUAGUCUAAUGUUAGUGAUCUUACUAGCUAGCUAAUUAAACUAGUCCUAGCUAGCUUAAUACAUACUUGUGCUACUGGUGUUUAUUAUACAGUGUAAUAGUUAACCUAGUAUUAGCAAGGUAGUGAGAUUCACCUCUAGAAUGUUACGAAUGUUAGCUAGCUCAUUAGCUACUUGUGCUACUGCUUAACAUGAGGUAAUAGUCAAUCUAAUGUUAGCUAGCUCAUUAGCUACUUGUGCUACUGCUUAACAUAAGGUAAUAGUCAAUCUAAUAUUAGCUAGCUCAUUAGCUACCUGUGCUACUGCUUUAACAUGAGGUAAUAGUCGAUCUCAUGAGCUAGCUCAUUAUAGUCAUGAGGUAUAGUCA
ensembl:lncRNA